UACGUAGGGGGCAAGCGUUGUCCGGAUUUAUUGGGCGUAAAGAGCGUGUAGGCGGCCUGACAGGUCAGCUGUGAAAACUCGAGGCUCAACCUCGAGACGCCGGUGGAAACCAUCAGACUAGAGUCCGGAAGAGGAGAGUGGAAUUCCUGGUGUAGCGGUGAAAUGCGCAGAUAUCAGGAAGAACACCCGUGGCUAAGGCGGCUCUCUAGUACGGUACUGACGCUGAGACGCGAAAGCGUGGGGAGCGAACAGG
rnacentral:rRNA from 1 species